rnacentral:rRNA from 1 species
UACGAAGGGGGCGAGCGUUGUUCGGAUUUACUGGGCGUAAAGGGCGCGUAGGCGGCGCUUCGAGUCGCGUGUGAAAGCCCCGGGCUCAACCUGGGAGGUGCGCGCGAUACUGGGGUGCUGGAGUUCGGGAGAGGAGCGUGGAAUUCCCAGUGUAGAGGUGAAAUUCGUAGAUAUUGGGAAGAACACCGGCGGCGAAGGCGGCGCUCUGGACCGAGACUGACGCUGAGGCGCGAAGCGGUGGGAGGCAACAAGGGAUAA